AUUGAACGCUGGCGGCAUGCUUUACACAUGCAAGUCGAACGGUAACAGGCCGCAAGGUGCUGACGAGUGGCGAACGGGUGAGUAAUGCAUCGGAACGUGCCCAGUCGUGGGGGAUAACGCAGCGAAAGCUGUGCUAAUACCGCAUACGAUCUAUGGAUGAAAGCGGGGAACCGUAAGGCCUCGCGCGAUUGGAGCGGCCGAUGUCAGAUUAGCUAGUUGGUGGGGUAAAGGCCCACCAAGGCGACGAUCUGUAGCUGGUCUGAGAGGACGACCAGCCACACUGGGACUGAGACACGGCCCAGACUCCUACGGGAGGCAGCAGUGGGGAAUUUUGGACAAUGGGCGCAAGCCCGAUCCAGCAAUGCCGCGUGCAGGAAGAAGGCCUUCGGGUUGUAAACUGCUUUUGUACGGAACGAAACGGUCUGGGUUAAUACCCUGGGCUAAUGACGGUACCGUAAGAAUAAGCACCGGCUAACUACGUGCCAGCCGCCGCAGUAA
rnacentral:rRNA from 1 species